rnacentral:lncRNA from 1 species
GUAAGUUUGUUCUCUUGCUUAUUAAAACCGCCUCCUACCAAUCCGGAGUGACCUGUCUCUUUCUUGGUCUCUCCCUGCCCUUCACGUAAGGGGGCUUGUUUCAGAUUUUACCCUGAACUCCCCAGGUUGUGAACCAACAAAUCUGUCCCCUCCAAGAAUCAAAAUAGUUUUUGAAAUGUUUCUGUUCUUACCUUAUUUAUAAAAGCAGUUGUGAGAUUUCCUGAAAUGUUUACUUAUAAAAUGCAACUUAUUCGAAAUAUUUUUAAUUAUAGGUGGACGCUCUUGCGUUACAAGUAGAGCCUUAUGCAGGCACAUCAGCCUCUGGUCCCCUUGGCUCCUUUCAGAGACCGCAGUGCACUGGCUGUGCACAAAAUCUGUUGUGAGGGAAGAGCUUUCCCCAUGAGGCCUGCCAGACUGGUGCCUGAGUUAACAUCUGUUGCCAAUCUUCUUUUUUGUCGUCUUCUUCUUCUUCUCCCCAGAGCCCCCCAGUACACAGUUGUAUAUUCUUGUUGGAGGUCCUUCUGGUUGUGCUGUGUGGGAUGCUGUCUCAGCAUGGCCUGAUGAGUGUGCCGUGUCCAUGCCCAGGAUGUGAACUGGUGAAACCCUGGGCCGCCUAAGCAGAGAGCUAACUUAACAACUCGGCCACGGGGUGGUCCCUAGACUUUCUUGUUGGUUACUCAAUAUUCUCAAAGCUCCAUCUCUAAUUCCAUCUCAACAUGGUUACUAUCUAGUAUAUCCUAAGAAAUUAUGUCAAAACUCGCUCCACUAUAGUCUCAGAUUGUAUGAAGCACUGCUUAUUUAGCAGGAUUAUGAAAAGACAUUCCUCCAGAAAGGAACAUACAC